UACGUAGGGUGCAAGCGUUGUCCGGAAUUAUUGGGCGUAAAGAGCUCGUAGGCGGUCAGUCGCGUCUGCUGUGAAAAACUCGGGGCUUAACUCCGGGCCUGCAGUGGGUACGGGCUGACUAGAGUGCGGUAGGGGAGACUGGAAUUCCUGGUGUAGCGGUGAAAUGCGCAGAUAUCAGGAGGAACACCGGUGGCGAAGGCGGGUCUCUGGGCCGAUACUGACGCUGAGGAGCGAAAGCGUGGGGAGCGAACAGG
rnacentral:rRNA from 1 species